rnacentral:lncRNA from 1 species
ACUCCGAAGCCCCGCAAGUGCCCUCGGUCUCCAUGGUAACAGGCCCACCCCAGACGGGUGCGAGCCCCAGGGCGGGAGCGUGGAUGGAACGCCACACACCGUGUGUCUGAAGGUACUCCGCGGCUGGCACCUGCAACCCUGGAGCCACCAAUGGGAAUCCAAAAGGGAGCAAGAGAAUGCACGUGUGAUGGCGCUGAGGAGGGGCUUCGUUGUGCGAGAACGCGUCGCAGUUAGGCUGGGACGAGGACCGAACAGGGUAUGCACCCAGGACUGCCGGUCGCUAGCUCUGUGACCUUUGGAAAGUCCCUCCGUGCCUCUCUUUCCGCCCUUACAGAGCGAGG